AGUACACGAGUGGCGCACGGGUGAGUAACGCGUAUACAAUCUACCUAUUACUGGGGUAUAGCCCGAAGAAAUUUGGAUUAAUCCCCCAUAGUAUAUAGAUAUGGCAUCAUAAUUAUAUUAAAGCUUAGGCGGUAAUAGAUGAGUAUGCGUCCCAUUAGUUAGUUGGUAAGGUAACGGCUUACCAAGGCAGCGAUGGGUAGGGGUCCUGAGAGGGAGAUCCCCCACACUGGUACUGAGACACGGACCAGACUCCUACGGGAGGCAGCAGUGAGGAAUAUUGGACAAUGGAGGCAACUCUGAUCCAGCCAUGCCGCGUGCAGGAAGACUGCCCUAUGGGUUGUAAACUGCUUUUAUACAGGAAGAAACCUCCCGACGUGUCGGGAAUUGACGGUACUGUAAGAAUAAGGAUCGGCUAACUCCGUGCCAGCAGCCGCGGUAAUACGGAGGAUCCGAGCGUUAUCCGGAAUCAUUGGGUUUAAAGGGUCUGUAGGCGGGCUGAUAAGUCAGCGGUGAAAGUCUGUCGCUUAACGAUAGAAUUGCCGUUGAUACUGUUGGUCUUGAGUCAUUAUGAAGUGGUUAGAAUGAGUAGUGUAGCGGUGAAAUGCAUAGAUAUUACUCAGAAUACCGAUUGCGAAGGCAGAUCACUAAUAAUGUACUGACGCUGAGGGACGAAAGCGUGGGGAGCGAACAGGAUUAGAUACCCUGGUAGUCCACGCAGUAAACGAUGGUCACUAGCUGUUCGAACCAAUUGAGGUUUGAGUGGCUAAGCGAAAGUGAUAAGUGACCCACCUGGGGAGUAC
rnacentral:rRNA from 1 species